UGGUUGAUCCUGCCAGUAGUCAUAUGCUUGUCUCAAAGAUUAAGCCAUGCAAGUCUAAGUAUAAGCACUUAUACUGUUAAACUGCGGAAAGCUCAUUAUAUCAGUUAUAGUUUAUUUGAUGGUAAACCCACUACAUGGAUAACCGUAGUAAUUCUAGAGCUAAUACAUGCCUUGAAGCGGUAACUUCGGAAGCCGUGGACUUAUUAGAUCAAGAGCUGACCCUUUUCGGAGGAACAAGCUGAAUCAUAGUAAUUUCGCUAAUCGCAGUGGUUUUGUGCCGGCGAUGGGUCAUUCAAAUUUCUGCCCUAUCAGCUGUGAUGUUAGUGUAGUGGACUAACAUGGCAUAAACGGGUGACGGAGGAUUAGGGUCUGAUUCCGGAGAGGGAGCCUGAGAAAUGGCUACCACUUCCAAGGAAGGCAGCAGGCGCGUAAAUUACCCAAUCCCGAUACGGGGAGGUAGUGACAAGAAAUAGCAAUACCGGAUCUUUUAAGAUCUGGUAAUUGGAAUGAGUACAAUCUAAAAUCCUUAACAAGGACCCCUUGGAGGGCAAGUCUGGU
rnacentral:rRNA from 1 species